rnacentral:rRNA from 2 species
GCUCAGGACGAACGCUGGCGGCGUGCUAAUACAUGCAAGUCGAGCGGACAGAAGGGAGCUUGCUCCCGGAUGUUAGCGGCGGACGGGUGAGUAACACGUGGGUAACCUGCCUGUAAGACUGGGAUAACUCCGGGAAACCGGAGCUAAUACCGGAUAGUUCCUUGAACCGCAUGGUUCAAGGAUGAAAGACGGUUUCGGCUGUCACUUACAGAUGGACCCGCGGCGCAUUAGCUAGUUGGUGGGGUAAUGGCUCACCAAGGCGACGAUGCGUAGCCGACCUGAGAGGGUGAUCGGCCACACUGGGACUGAGACACGGCCCAGACUCCUACGGGAGGCAGCAGUAGGGAAUCUUCCGCAAUGGACGAAAGUCUGACGGAGCAACGCCGCGUGAGUGAUGAAGGUUUUCGGAUCGUAAAGCUCUGUUGUUAGGGAAGAACAAGUGCGAGAGUAACUGCUCGCACCUUGACGGUACCUAACCAGAAAGCCACGGCUAACUACGUGCCAGCAGCCGCGGUAAUACGUAGGUGGCAAGCGUUGUCCGGAAUUAUUGGGCGUAAAGGGCUCGCAGGCGGUUUCUUAAGUCUGAUGUGAAAGCCCCCGGCUCAACCGGGGAGGGUCAUUGGAAACUGGGAAACUUGAGUGCAGAAGAGGAGAGUGGAAUUCCACGUGUAGCGGUGAAAUGCGUAGAGAUGUGGAGGAACACCAGUGGCGAAGGCGACUCUCUGGUCUGUAACUGACGCUGAGGAGCGAAAGCGUGGGGAGCGAACAGGAUUAGAUACCCUGGUAGUCCACGCCGUAAACGAUGAGUGCUAAGUGUUAGGGGGUUUCCGCCCCUUAGUGCUGCAGCUAACGCAUUAAGCACUCCGCCUGGGGAGUACGGUCGCAAGACUGAAACUCAAAGGAAUUGACGGGGGCCCGCACAAGCGGUGGAGCAUGUGGUUUAAUUCGAAGCAACGCGAAGAACCUUACCAGGUCUUGACAUCCUCUGACAACCCUAGAGAUAGGGCUUUCCCUUCGGGGACAGAGUGACAGGUGGUGCAUGGUUGUCGUCAGCUCGUGUCGUGAGAUGUUGGGUUAAGUCCCGCAACGAGCGCAACCCUUGAUCUUAGUUGCCAGCAUUCAGUUGGGCACUCUAAGGUGACUGCCGGUGACAAACCGGAGGAAGGUGGGGAUGACGUCAAAUCAUCAUGCCCCUUAUGACCUGGGCUACACACGUGCUACAAUGGACAGAACAAAGGGCUGCAAGACCGCAAGGUUUAGCCAAUCCCAUAAAUCUGUUCUCAGUUCGGAUCGCAGUCUGCAACUCGACUGCGUGAAGCUGGAAUCGCUAGUAAUCGCGGAUCAGCAUGCCGCGGUGAAUACGUUCCCGGGCCUUGUACACACCGCCCGUCACACCACGAGAGUUUGCAACACCCGAAGUCGGUGAGGUAACCUUUAUGGAGCCAGCCGCCGAAGGUGGGGCAGAUGAUUGGGGUGAAGUCGUAACAAGGUA